AGGAAGUUAUUUUCUGUGGUAGUCUCUCCUCUUAAGUUGAGAGGAACAAAAGCAGAGAGCUUCUUCACUGAGAUCUCUGGAACAUCACUUCAUUUUAGCAAUGUUCCACAUGAUAAGGGGACCCUCCUUUCUCGGGUGCCAACAGUACAUCCAGCACAAGGGCUCCAGGACUAAACAUCUGCACAAGCAACACAAAUAAGGGUUUCUCUGAAGUAUGAACACAGCAACAUUACUGUCAGAAUUACUGAGACCCCAACACACAGAGAUUUGAUGUUUAUGCUCAUUCUACCACAAAUCUAAGCAAAGUUGGAUGCUUAAGACUAAGUUUUAAACCUCUAUCAUGAUCAAUAUUUUCAAUUGCUACUACAAAACUAUACCUUGCCCAUUCAGAAGGCUUCCUUGUGAAAUUUCCCCAAAGAUUUUCUGAUGGGUUCUCCAGAAAGAAAUCCACAGAUCUGCACAACAAUCAUCAUCUGCUGUUUUCUGAGCCAAGAUCAAGUGUUGCCCUAAACAAGGAUUCAAGUUGGCCAGUUCAGCCCGUCACCUCUGUCCGGAUGGAGUGUUUAUUUGAUCCAAAGUCAACAGAUACUACGGGAUUUUCAGCCAGAUCUUAGCAUGGGCUCACCCGAACAUAGUCAAGGUAGUUUGUGAAGUCAGUGCAAGUUUUAAUGGCAAGUUGUGACACUGACUUCAGUGACACUGAAUGCUGAUGCUGUUUAAGACAAAUUCUAUUUCACUUUGUGCUGCAGUUUUACUGAUGGGAGAGCCAAUAAGCAGAACAGUAAUUCUUCCCCCAACAAGCCACGCUGAUGGUAUUCGCUGGGUGUAAACAGCAGAGUUCCAAAUGCUGAAGCCGUCUAAAUCUGUUGAGUUUAAUUUUUGCUGUACCUUAAUCUACGCCAUCUUAUUCAGGUGCUCGCUUUAAUUCAUGUAACUAAAACAAAAAAUAAACCACCACCCUCUGCACCACUUCGUAGUCUAAGAUUCCACUCCGGCAUCACGAGUUUUAAACUUUCUGAAAACUCUUAAGACCACAAGCAAAUUCAAUAAUCUCUUCAGCUUUCACACAGGCAAAUAAAUUAAAAAGACAUUACUGGUAAACACAAGGGGCAAGAAACUUGUCAUCUCAAAUACCGAGACUACCGCUGACACGCACACUUCUUGGGAGCAGUCUUUGAACGCACUUGCAGCAAACACGCACUGUUUGUGAGUUAUGCAUGACAAGGUCUUCAUAAGAC
rnacentral:lncRNA from 7 species